GCGGCGGUGGUAGAGUGGUCAAUUACAUCAGACUGUAAAUCUGACGGCCUUGCGCCUACGCAGGUUCGAAUCCUGCCCGCCGCACCA
rnacentral:tRNA from 1 species